UACAGAGGUCUCAAGCGUUGUUCGGAUUCAUUGGGCGUAAAGGGUGCGUAGGCGGCGCGGUAAGUCGGAUGUGAAAUCUCGGGGCUUAACUCCGAAACUGCAUUCGAUACUGCCGUGCUUGAGGACUGGAGAGGAGACUGGAAUUUACGGUGUAGCGGUGAAAUGCGUAGAUAUCGUAAGGAAGACCAGUGGCGAAGGCGGGUCUCUGGACAGUUUCCUGACGCUGAGGCACGAAGGUCAGGGGAGCAAACGGG
rnacentral:rRNA from 1 species